UAGGGAAUCUUCCGCAAUGGACGAAAGUCUGACGGAGCAACGCCGCGUGAGUGAAGAAGGAUUUCGGUUCGUAAAACUCUGUUGUUAGGGAAGAAAAAAUGUAUAGUAACUAUAUACAAAAGAGACGGUACCUAACCAGAAAGCCACGGCUAACUACGUGCCAGCAGCCGCGGUAAUACGUAGGUGGCAAGCGUUGUCCGGAAUUAUUGGGCGUAAAGCGCGCGCAGGUGGUUUAGAAAGUCUAAUGUGAAAGCCCACGGCUCAACCGUGGAGGGUCAUUGGAAACUAAUAAACUUGAGUGCAGGAGAGAAAAGUGGAAUUCCUAGUGUAGCGAUGAAAUGCGUAGAGAUUAGGAGGAACACCGGUGGCGAAAGCGGCUUUUUGGCCUGCAACUGACACUGAGGCGCGAAAGCGUGGGGAGCAAACAGG
rnacentral:rRNA from 1 species